ACUUCCAACGCUCUACCUCUACACAGCACAACAAAUGGUCAAGUAUAGAGGUUUCGUAGCACUCUAGCCGAAAUAGCCAGAUGCCUGAAACUUGGAUGCAAAUUGAACGAUACUAUAGGAAUAAUCAUUUUUAGCAACCAACAAAUCAAUCCACUCAGUAACUAACAAAAAACCCACAGAAAUAGUUCACACAAAGCCCAUGGAAUUCGAUAGAGAAAUUAUUAGGAAAAUGCAACCGCUACAGCAGAAGACGAUUGACCAGGUAAACGAGAAUAGGACCUAUAAGGACAAUCAGUAUACUGAAUGACUACACGAACGCGGGGUAUACCCCAUAGAGGACAGUGACAUUGUAGUCUGGGAGUCUUUCGGAUACCUACAACAUGCAACGAACAUGACGACCGAGGACUUUGCUGACCAGACGGAAGCGCUAACGAAAACAUUUACCGAUGACCACAGACUACCGGUUAUAGCGGCGGAAAUCAGACACAUUCCCAAGAUGGUAGCCACCUUAAAAAUCACUCAUAGCGAUGCCAGGAGUAUAAACUUUAUUAGGACAAACCUUAAAAGUUGUUGCAGGCUUUUUUAAAGAAGAUAACAGUCUAUCCGGUCCAGAUACCACCAUCUAAAGACCAAAGUCCACGCCAAAACAGGAAUUAACGAUGACUUGGAACCAUUGGGUCAGCAGCAUUAGCAUUAGCACAAGAAGCUGAAUCAAGUAACGAAAGAAGCGUUUUUGCGCCACUUUCGCCCGACACAAUGAGGAGAAAGCAUACAAGCCGAACAACCAGCGACAAGAAGGUUGAAAAAAUUCCCAGACCCAUUCAGAAAUUCAGGAGCAAUUAGGAAAACUCCUCACUUGUUAGGACUCAAAAAGGAGCCAACAACCAGAAUGAUUCCUUUGGACAGAGACCACACAUAAGCACAGGAACUCGUCAGGGUCAACCAGCACCAGAGCCAAUGGAGAUCGACCCCUCCUUCAGGAUUAAAUUUAGACAGCCCACAACAUGGCAAAAAGGGCAGUCAGCAAGGCAACAAAAAAUGAACCUCAUGCCAGAAGAAAAAUCUGACGACGAAGAUUAUGACGCCGUUGCGCAGACUUGUGCUACUGAAGUAGAAGACGAUCUUGAGGAAGAAGACUCAUGUAAUUUUUAGAAUAAAAUCCCUGCUCCCCUACUUUACACACAGGCACCUCAAAAAAUAGAUUACUCCAAUCCCGGGACUGAAAGAAAUUGUGGCAGCGGAGAAACCC